UCUCGGGUGGCUGAGUUGUUAGAGCAUUGGACUGUUAACCCAAAAGGAUCCAGGGUUCAAGUCCCUGCUGGGGCG
rfam:Drosophila persimilis strain MSH-3 cont1.000969, whole genome shotgun sequence.